UAGGGAAUCUUCCACAAUGGACGCAAGUCUGAUGGAGCAACGCUGCGUGAGUGAAGAAGGGUUUCGGCUCGUAAAGCUCUGUUGUUAAAGAAGAACGUGGGUAAGAGUAACUGUUUACCCAGUGACGGUAUUUAACCAGAAAGCCACGGCUAACUACGUGCCAG
rnacentral:rRNA from 1 species